AAUUUCCCUCUUUUACUA
rnacentral:tRNA from 2 species